rnacentral:rRNA from 1 species
AUGGAGCAGUAUGGGAGGUGGCUUGGGGGAGGUGGUAGAUCGGAACAGGAGGAGGAAGUUUCUGGCGAAUUCUUAGGACCCCAACCUGACCUGGAAGACCAAUUUGCUGGCAUGAGGCUGCAUGGAGAGGAGGAACAAGACCUUGAUUUCUCGGAGGAGGUUGAAGAUCUGGUGAAGGACGUACGUUGGCUGGCUCUGUUUCGUGUGCAUACCACGAAGCCGUUUAGCCAUGGGGCUCUUUUGACCCAGAUGAGGAAUGCAUGGAUGGCUGCCCAAGGGGUCACGUUCAACGUUAAGGGACCAAACCUUUUUCUCGUUCAAUGCCACUGCUUAGGGGAUUGGAAGAAGAUCAUGGAAGGCGGGCCAUGGCUGUUUAGGAGGGCUCCGGUGGUGAUACAAGAGUAUGAUGGCUUUUCAGAUGUUACAAAGUAUAGGUUGAACAAGUUCCCAGUAUGGGCUCGGGUUAAAGAACUGCCGGAUGGGUUAACGAGGAAGAAGGAGCUCGCAGAAAGGGUGGCAGCAAAGAUUGGGGAGCCACCAUUUAAUGUUAUUGUAAACGAAGGAAGGAUAAACCCCGCAAGCACUUUGCGGGCGCGGGUGUUUCUGGAUGUGAAUACACCUCUGGUCCGAUUUGUGCCUAUUACGCUGAAGGAACACAAGAAGUUUAGCGUCUACUAUGAGAAACUACCUGAUUUUUGCUAUGCUUGUGGCCGGGUGGGUCACUUAGCCGAGGAAUGUGGCGAUGGGGUUCAUGACCCGAGGACCUUUGAGUGGGGUGAUUGGCUGUUAUGGGAUGCUGAGAGUCCAACAGAUCGACCUUGGAAUGGUCGGGCUAGUGAUGAUGGGGGGAGUCGUGGAAGGAUGGGAGGAAGAGGGGAUAGAGGAGGCAGAGGCGGGAGGAGUACGGGAGUAGCUGGAGGAAGGAGAGGGCCGAUAGCAGGCCGGGAGGAUGGAAUGCCUGGCAUAGCAGGGGUGGACGUGGGGAACCAGACAGGGAAUGAGGGAGAGGAGAAAGGGGCACGCAAGUGA